ensembl:processed_transcript 1700007J10Rik RIKEN cDNA 1700007J10 gene
CUCUCAAACCAGGCAGCUUGGGAGAUUUUGAGCAUUAACUGCUGCUCCCAAGCAAAAGGCUCUACUUUCAGUUUCUGGGAAACUGACUACAUUUUUAAAUUUCUUUGAUUGCAUGUUUUAAAUGACUCCAGUUGGGGGCACUGUUAUCUGGGGAAGGCUGGCUUGGGUGCCCUCUGGGGCUUCUUGGGCCCAGUUCCACUAGGGGACACGUCGCCCAGCCUACCUGUGGGGUAGGUGGCUCUACUUUCCGUUUCUUCUUCUGGUUCUGCUUGUUGGUUCGAGGAUACACCAUGAGCAUCUCUAACCACCUGGGAAGACAGGAUGAGAAAUAGUACCAGGAAGCCUGGAUCUUAGAACUGUUCCAUGUCAGCUGAUAUUUCGGUCAGAUACUUGAGGCUGUGUGUGUGAAGGGAGUGAUUCCUACAACUUCACUAGAAUCCUAAAUCAAGAUUAUCUUCCCACAAGGACCUCAGAAACAAGUGUUCUUCAUUCACCCAUGGACAAGACACAUCGUAUUUCUGAGAGAGAAAACUAUCGCUAUGAGGAUUGUGAGAACUGAGUGACAGAAGCUGUGCCGACAGCCAGUAGUGACCAGAUGAAAGGAACUGCAAAGGAUGCCUCUUCUUCUCUACUGCUGGAACUCCAUCCCAGUCCUUGGGAUUAAAACACUGACAAUGGC